AUCAACUGCAGGCGUUUAAUUAACGAUUCUGCAAGACCGUUUUGAGUGUGAACAUGAGCUACAGAAUGUUUCACUUUUAUCCCAAUUGAUAAGCAAUAACCAUUAAAUGCUUGGGAUGAAAACUCAGAAGCAUUAUCCAGUCUAAUAGACUUGAUAGGAUUAUCAGGAAAUUGUGCUCGUAGUCGAAUUAUUUGUGCCAUUAAUUUCGCAAACGCAAGG
rnacentral:lncRNA from 1 species